AUUGAACGCUGGCGGCAUGCCUUACACAUGCAAGUCGAACGGUAACAGGGUGCUUGCACCGCUGACGAGUGGCGAACGGGUGAGUAAUGCGUCGGAACGUGCCGAGUAGUGGGGGAUAACGCAUCGAAAGGUGUGCUAAUACCGCAUACGUACUGAGGUAGAAAGUGGGGGACCUUCGGGCCUCACGCUAUUCGAGCGGCCGACGUCUGAUUAGCUAGUUGGUGAGGUAAAGGCUCACCAAGGCGACGAUCAGUAGCGGGUCUGAGAGGAUGAUCCGCCACACUGGGACUGAGACACGGCCCAGACUCCUACGGGAGGCAGCAGUGGGGAAUUUUGGACAAUGGGCGCAAGCCUGAUCCAGCCAUGCCGCGUGUCUGAAGAAGGCCUUCGGGUUGUAAAGGACUUUUGUCCGGGAGCAAAUACCCAGUGCUAAUAACGCUGGGGGCUGAGAGUACCGGAAGAGUAAGCACCGGCUAACUACGUGCCAGCCGCCGCAGUAA
rnacentral:rRNA from 1 species